rnacentral:piRNA from 1 species
CAAAAAAGCGGCCACAGCGAGCGGCUCU